rnacentral:rRNA from 1 species
UACUCGAGUGGCGAACGGGUGAGUAACACGUGGGUGAUCUGCCCUGCACUUCGGGAUAAGCCUGGGAAACUGGGUCUAAUACCGGAUAGGAGCCAUUUUUAGUGUGAUGGUUGGAAAGUUUUUUCGGUGUAGGAUGAGCUCGCGGCCUAUCAGCUUGUUGGUGGGGUAAUGGCCUACCACGGCGGCGACGGGUAGCCGGCCUGAGAGGGUGGACGGCCACAUUGGGACUGAGAUACGGCCCAG